rnacentral:lncRNA from 13 species
AUGUGUUCAGCUGAUCUGCCGGAUGUGAAAGAGAGAGGAGCGGGGCAGACUUUCUAUACAAGUGAGGAUUCUGAUCAGGAGACAGAGGAGAGCUAUAAUGAACAACAUGCUCAGAUUGAGGCUCAUGCUUCUAGUGUUAAAAGGACAGAGCCUGAAACUGAUGCCAAAGCACCAUGUGAGUCAGCCCAAGAACGUACGACCCAAAGCAAAGUCAGUCCUGGUUCUGAGGAUAGGGAAAGAUGGCAAGAGAAGGACCAAGACUGUAGGAUGAGUACAUUACCACUUCCCAAGGUUGAAAACCCCUCUAAGUUAAGAGCUAACAUCAUAGCAGACAACUGGUUUUCACCUAUAGAGGACUGUGGUUCACCUGUAGAAAAGUAUGACAAAGUUGCUGACUUUGUCACCCAAUACAAAACCUGCAAGUCAAAGCAAAAAGGACAUAAAAAAAUGGAAAAGGAGAAGUCCCUCCAUCCAACGUCAUCUGACAGGCAAAGUUACAAGAAAAGCCAUGGGAGAGCAGAGAGGGGAAGGACACCAUCCCAAACCACUAAGUGCUCUGGGUUGAAGGCAACUGUGGAUAAUCAAUGCAGGGACAUGAAGCCACAUGCAUCACACAAGACGAGACAUUCAACUGAGAGUGAUGGAAAUCGAUGUAAAGACAAGAAGAGGGGAUCAUCAACUGUGAAAGCGUGUGAAGGCUGUCAAUCCAGGGACAAGAAGCCACCGAAGAGGAGACAUUCAACUGAGAAAGAGAGAGAGGAUAAUCAAAGUAGGGACAAGAUGUCACAGAAGAGAAGAUAUUCAACUGAAACUGACGGCAGGAACUCAAACUCCAAAGAGUUACAGUGCCAGUUGGUGGACAUAGAGAGGAGCAGUGGAAGCUCACUCCCGUGCCCUGGGGUGAAAACCCUCCAUGUGCAGGGAUCCUCAAAUACCACCGUUCCUCUCAAAAUCUCCAUAAACAUCCCCAAAAAGCCUUCCAUAAACACCUCACCCUCAAAACAUGCAGAGGAAAUCCUCAAAAUCCCGAAGACUAAAGCCCAGAACAAAACUAACAGACACUGCUCCCUUGCAAAGUCGGUGUCUCCUGUUGUCAAAGAGAGGCAGAGGAAUGGCGGCAAACAAAAGCAAACAAUUCAAUGCUUAAAAAUCAGAUUGGAAAAGCUGUCCUUACCCCAAAAUCUUGUCAGGAAAGGUUCUCCACCAAGCCGGAAGAGGGAGGAAGGUUCUCCACCAAGGCAGAAGAGGGUGGCAGAUAGAGGAGAGCCUGAGGGUUUAGGGGUAAAUGUUUCUAGGCAUCCUGACUUGUCCAAGAAACUAAAACGUAAGGCACAGAGCGACUUGAAAUCCCAACAGAAUUUGACAAAGAUUCCGAAGGUGUUGAAUGGAGUGUUUUCAAAAAGUGAGUGUAAGAAUGACUCGCCGCCAAGGAUUCUGAAGCUUCCAAGGACUCCAGAGGUUUCAAAGGAUUUGCAUGAGAGAGAGAACAGGAAAGAGCCAUCUCCCAGUGCUUCCCCUGAAUCACAAAUGCUGGACAAACCUGCAAGAGUGGCACACAAGCCCAAAUAUUUUAUCAAACCUGCCAGUCCCAGUUGUUACAGCCCAGGUAGUCAUGCUUGCCCUAAUACGGCCAUGGUUUCACCGUCACAUGGCAACGUAGAUUUUGGUGAAAAAGUCUCUGCGAGGCAACAGGUGUUCUCAGAUUGGGAGAGCAGCUUUGUCCCGACUCCAACCCCCCGGACUCGCAGGCGAUCAGGGUGUCCUCCAGAGGAAGUGGAAGGUCAACAGGCCAGUCGCAGGUCCAGCUCGGAGACCAGGAUCAUCCGACCCAUUCUAAAACGUGUCGAUGCUCCGCCGAAACCCAAGCGGAACAUCAGCUUUCAUUUGAAUCCAAGGAACGUGCAUUACUUCAAGCCCUGUGAAUAUGAAAAUUACGUCAUGUUCAACAGGUCUUACACAGAUCCGGAAGAUGCACAGCGCUCUGAUGAUGAAGAGGAAGAUGCUUCUGUGAACUGCCAGAACAAGAAGAAACAGCCCCCCGUUAUGGAAGUGAAGCAGCAAGAUAUAGGGGAGCUGAAGCCUGGACCAAGCGGUUUAUGUGAAAAGCGCUUCAAAAGGAAGUGGGAAAUGCAGGAGCCUGCUGCCAUUUUGAUGAAGGAGAGCAUUGUUCAGGCAAAGCAUUGGACGAAGUCUCUCCAUCGUGAUCCUCCAAAAGAAUUCAGACACUCAGCAAAAAUAACUGGAGUUGGUUACAAGUGGUCCGAGAAGCAGAAGAAGAGGCCAAAUGAAAUUGAAGGUUCCUCUCUGAAUGCAAGCCCCCUUCACGGUCACCAUCCAGGUUCCUUUCAGAAUGCNNNNNNNNNNUUUUUUUUUCAAAUUUUGUCUGUCAUAGUUGAAGUGUACCUAUGA